rnacentral:rRNA from 1 species
GCGAAAACUUUACAAUGCCGGCAACGGCGAUACGGGGACCCCGAGUGCCAGGUUACAAAUCUGGCUGUCGUGAUGCCUAAAAAGCAUUGCAUAGCGAGGGCCGGGCAAGACCGGUGCCAGCCGCCGCGGUAACACCGGCGGCUCGAGUGGUAACCGUUAUUAUUGGGUCUAAAGGGUCUGUAGCCGGCCGGAUAAGUCUCUUGGGAAAUCCAGCAGCUUAACUGUCAGGCUUUCAGGAGAUACUGUCUGGCUCGAGGCCGGGAGAGGUGAGAGGUACUUCAGGGGUAGGGGUGAAAUCUUGUAAUCCUUGAAGGACCACCAGUGGCGAAGGCGUCUCACCAGAACGGACCUGACGGAAAGGGACGAAAGCUAGGGGCACGAACC